rnacentral:rRNA from 1 species
GACGAACGCUGGCGGCGUGCUUAACACAUGCAAGUCGAACGGAAAGGCCCUGCUUUUGUGGGGUGCUCGAGUGGCGAACGGGUGAGUAACACGUGAGUAACCUGCCCUUGACUUUGGGAUAACUUCAGGAAACUGGGGCUAAUACCGGAUAGGAGCCCCUGCUGCAUGGUGGGGGUUGGAAAGUUUCGGCGGUUGGGGAUGGACUCGCGGCUUAUCAGCUUGUUGGUGGGGUAGUGGCUUACCAAGGCUUUGACGGGUAGCCGGCCUGAGAGGGUGACCGGCCACAUUGGGACUGAGAUACGGCCCAGACUCCUACGGGAGGCAGCAGUGGGGAAUAUUGCACAAUGGGCGGAAGCCUGAUGCAGCAACGCCGCGUGCGGGAUGACGGCCUUCGGGCUGUAAACCGCUUUCGCCUGUGACGAAGCGUGAGUGACGGUAAUGGGUAAAGAAGCACCGGCUAACUACGUG